rnacentral:sRNA from 12 species
UGACCGUUCCAUUUUCGGAACCAAGGCCAUACGGACAGCCGGGUCAACUGCCGA